AAAACAUCUCUGGAGUGUAGUUAGGAAGCUCUUCAUUGAGAGACUGUCGUCACCUGGCUGAGACUGCUGUCCAAACCAGAGACCAGAGACAUUGACAAGGUGGGCUAUAUUCAGCACAGCAACACUCAGUGAUCCAGCUUCUCAAACCUCAGUUGACAAUCUUUGCAGGAUUCUCCUUUCAAGACAAUAGAGACUUCUCA
rnacentral:lncRNA from 1 species